CCAGCAGCCAUGUGCCAAACCCUCCUGGGAGGAUGAAGGUUUAAAGUGCUCCUACAGUCAGAUUGAAACAACUGAAAACUCUGUGCCCCAGUGCUCCUGACCAGGAUCAAGGAGAACCUUUGCUUCUCAGCUGCUCCAUAUUUUUGGACAAGGUGGCCAGAAGGAGUUAGAAGUAAAGAUAAUGUGAAAAUCCCAGUACGUUAUCAACUGGUGACAGAAAAGCAAACAAGUUCAUUAUAAACACUCUCCAUGAAAAUCGAGGCUUCCACAGCUGGCUGUUCUAUGGAUAAUAAUGGAAUAUUCAGAAGCCUCUUGGCCUCAGUUUUUAAAAGUGUUAGGUAUAAUCAUGACA